rnacentral:pre_miRNA from 1 species
GGCCUCCCUCUGGGGGGCAAUCAAUCACGGAGCCCUCCCCCAUUGAUCGCCACACAGAGGGUGGCC